CUGGACACGGAGAAGCACUGGGUGAAUAAACUAUAGCAGCCAGCCGUCGAAUAUUGGAGAAGGAAUGGCGGUUUUUAAUAAAACCUGUUUGGUCAUCUGAAAUUAUUUUAGGGAGGAGGCGCUCUAAACGGCAUGCUAACACUUUAGCCAAUAUUUUAACAUCUACGUUCAAAAGAGAGAUGGGGCGGUAAGAUCCACACUGGGUUGGAUCCUUGUCUUUUUUAAGAAGAAGGGAGAUUGACGCCUGUGAAAGGGUGGGGGGUAGAGAACCAUUUUUCAAGGAUUCCUGAAACAUUUUCAUAAGGAUUGGUGUGAGCUCCUCUUUGAAUUUCUUGUAAAAAUUAGUUGGGUAGCCAUCGGGCCCUGGGGAUUUAUUGGUCUGCAUUGCCAUGAUGGCACUUUUAAGCUCAUCUUGUGUGAGAGCUUGAUCUACAUUUUUUGUGGCCUCAGAGUUUAGAGUUGGUAUUUCCAAACUAUCUAAGAAUUGCUCCAUAUCUGUUGUAUCAGAGGGAAAUUCAGAGGUGUAAAGAGAGUAGUAAAAGUCUUUAAAAAUAUUAUUAAUUUCUUUUGGCUUGUUUGUGGUGUUUUGGUGGGUAUCUUUGAUCAGGGGUAUAAGUCGAGAUGCGGCUUGACGUUUCAAUUGAUGAGCCAUUAACCGGCUUGAUUUGUCACCAUAUUCAUAGUAGAGACCACGUGUCUUAAGAAUGAGUUGUUCUGAUUGUUUGGUAGUGAGAUAAUUAAAUUUCGUCUGCAAAUCAGCCCGCUCCUUAUAUAAUUUAGCAGAGGGAGUCUCUGAAUAUUUCCUGUCCAGUUCUAAAAUGGACUGUGCUAGAGCUUGCAUUUCCUUCUUACGUUCCCUACUGGCAUACGAACUAUAGGAGAUUAUAAGACCUCGUAAGUACGCUUUCAAGGUUUCCCACAGCACAGAAUAUGAAACAGAGUCAGUUUCAUUAAUCGUCAAGAAUGUAUUUAUGUUAGUUGAGAUAAAACUACAAAAUUCCUCACUUGAAAGCAGAAGUGGGUCAAAUCUCCAUGGAGGUCGCUCUCUAAUGUUUAAAGGAAAGCCCAGAUCCAACAACACAGGUGAGUGAUCCGAUAUAACUAUAGCGGUAUAUUCAAUCCGUUUAAUCAUUGAAAUAAAGGAAUUAUCUAUAAAGAAAUAGUCUAGACGGGAAAAGGAACGAUGGACAUGGGAGAAAAAAGAGAAUUGUUUACUAAGUGGGUUCACAAUUCUCCAAGGAUCCACAAAACCACUCUGUUGCAUGAAAAGUGAAAAGGAUUUGGCCAUACCAGAAGAUAUUUGCUUGGGAUUGGACCUAUCCAACAAUGGGUCAAUAGCACAGUUCAAGUCUCCUGAGAAAAUUAGCUGGUCAGUAUUUAGAUUGGGUAUUAGUGACAAUAUCUUGUUUGCAAAGUGAACAUCAUCCCAGUUAGGGGCAUACACAUUCACAAGUACAACAGGCUUCUGAAAAAGGGAACCUGAAACUAUGAGAAAACGGCCAUUGGGGUCACUGAUUACAUUAGAGGCAAAAAAUUGAGUACUUUUGGCAACCAAUAUAGCCACACCCCUGGACCUGCUAGUAAAUUUGGAAUGAAAGGUCUGACUAAUCCAAUUUCUACGGAGUCUAUUAUGAUCCUCCAAUCUGAGAUGUGUUUCUUGUAAAAAAAUAAUAUAUCUGGUUUUAAUUGUUUUAAAUGAGAAAAAACUUUAGCUCUUUUAACAGGACCAUUAAGCCCCUUGACAUUCCAAGAUAUAAACCUCACAGGAUGGCCUUCAUCAGGGUCAUCUAUGUUGGCAACAUUAACAGACAUAUAGGGCAAGCAAUUAUAUACAAUGAAAGCAUACGCUGUAUUUUAGAACACAUACUGAGAAAAACAAAGCAAAAACGACCAUCUAAGGUAAGCUGCCAUGGUGAUUCCCCAGAACACCCCUUAAUAACAUAUACCCCCCCAAACCUAGAUCUACUUCCCCAAUUGAAGACGAUCGCAGGCAUUACAAAACUAGAAACUUCCAAAAUCAUUCUCUAUAAAACUAAAACUAACGUUUUGAUCGAGGGUGGCUCCCUUUCUAGAACAUUAGCACUACCUUCAAAGCACAGCCCGCUUAGCUAGAGAAAACAUCAGUUUAGCAUGUAAAAUAAAAAAAACCAUUGCUCAUCUGCUGAUUGAAAGGAUACUCAUAGUUAGUAUAUCACAGUCUUAUUUAAGUCUGUUAAGUAGCCUAAAUUAAAUGGGAUGCAGCGAUCAAAGAAAAAAAAAA